UGCCAUGUAAUCCCCCAUAAUUUUAUACAUUUUAUUAAUAUAUUUUAACGUAUUGUUAAUUAUAUUUAAAUAGAAUUUACGAAUUUUAGAAAUAAAUAUGUAAUUAACGAAUAUUUAUUUUUAUACUUUUAAAUAUUUCAACGGUUUAUGAAAUUAAAAUAAUUUUAGAAUUUGAUGUUGAAAAGAAUUUGAAUUACGAAAACACGAUUGAAAUUAGAAAACAAUCUUAAGCGGUGUUGAAUUCAAAUACCAAACUUAAUUCUAAUCCUAGCCCAAGUUAGCAAACCCCAAAAUAAGUAAACCCACAUCCCUUACCCAUAUUUCAAAUUCAUGUAAAACUCUCAAUCCUCUCCUCUCCUUCACGUGAAAAGAAAAGCAGAAAAACCCUCAAACCCUCUUCAAGAAUUCACGUGAACUCUCACACCUUAGUGCUCUCCUUGUCGCCGCCGUCCAGCCACCCACGUCGGACCACCGUCGCUGCAGUCCCUCGCCACCACCGGCAUCACCAUCCGGUAAACUUCCCCUCCCUUCUCACCUUCUUUCUCUUUCGUUUUCCUUGCUCUCCUCCUCACUGACUUUCUAUUUUGCGAAGCACCACUUGUGCACGCAGCCACCAACACCUUGCCGCUCUUCCGCCUAGUUCCAGCCACCACCUACUCGCGCCGCCGGUCCUUCCCCCUGCCCGCAACCACCGCGCACCCCGGUCGCACCAUUGUUUCGUCGCUGCCGCACAUGUGCUCCGCCGGCCAACCUCUUCUUUUCCACGUUUUGGUGGAGAAUUCUCCGUUGGCGAUUUUUGAAUUAUUAAAGUAGUCUUGCAGUUUGUUUACACAAGUUUCUAAGGAUCAAUAAGCAUUGUCCAUCUGCAGGUUUGAAGAUGUUGCAUCAUUGGGAUCGGGAAUCGAGAGCUUGUAUUUAGUUUUGAUUUGCUAAGUUGACUUGGGUUUGUUUAAUUGGACUUUAAACUUGUCAUACUAUUUAUAUUUCCUUAUGUUCGUUGGUUGAUUUUUGGGACUAAACCUGUAAUCGAUUAUUUAUAAACCUAAAGUUAGUUUUAUGUUUUCCGCUGCAAAAUUCUGAAUAAGCCGUUACGUUUUCACACGGGCGAUAAUGCCUUGAUAAUUCUCUACGUUUUAUAUUAAAAGGUUAUUUUAGAAAAGAGAGAAUUGUCGG